UAACACCCGAAGCCGGUGGAGUAACCUUUUAGGAGCUAGCCGUCGAAGGUGGGACAAAUGAUUGGGGUGAAGUCGUAACAAGGUAGCCGUAUCGGAAGGUGCGGCUGGAUCACCUCCUUU
rnacentral:rRNA from 2 species